AUUUCUAUCUACACUUAAGUUUUGAAAGAAGGAAAGAAAGAAAGAGAGACAGAAAAAGAAAGAAAGAAAAGAAAGAGAGAAAGAAAGGUUGCUGUAGUUAGAGUCAGAAGAAGAGUUUGUUGAAGAAGUAGAAUUUGUUGAAGUUGUUAAUUCUGGUAAUAACUGCUAACCAGCUGCUAGAUAGAAAAUAUGAAGAGAGAAAAAUCGAGCCCUAGGUCACCAUUACUUCACUGUGCCUCUGACAUUAGCUCUUCCCCCAGGAUAUACAUAGGAGAUAUGCUUCCUGAGAGAAAGGACCACGCUUCUCCUGUUUACCAUGCUGUCUCCCACUCUAGCACAUCCUUCAGCGAUGCUGACCGGUGGAAACCAGAGCAGUACCUCGUGUAUACUACGCUAUCGUAAGCUAUUAUAAGCAUUGUUCUUUUUCUUCUCCCACCCAGAAACCUGAAGGUUUUCUUUUCCUUACUCUGUUCCUCUGUGAGUUUUGAGAAUUUCUGUACCUCUCUUAUGAUACACGAUAUUACUGGCAUAGUGCGUUCAUAACACUUCCUAGAUGCUACUCAUAUGUGGCAUGAGCCUUCUUAAUCAACACUAAACUCCUUCUAAACUAAAAAGCAUAAUCCCUGUUACUUAUAUCUGUAUUUAAAGUGGAGUUUUCCCUGAGUUGUUUCUUUUUCUUUUUUUUUUUUUUGAGACGGAGUCUCGCAUUGUUGCCCAGGCUGGAGUGCAGUGGCGCGAUUUCGGCUCACUGCAAGCCUAGCGGGUUCACGCCAUUCUCCUGCCUCAGCCUCCCAAGUAGCUGGGACUGCAGGCGUGUGCCAUCAUGCCUGGUAAAUUUUUUUGUAUCUUUAGUAGAGAGCGGGUCUUACCGUGUUAGCCAGGAUGGUCUCGAUCCCCUGACCUUGUGAUCCACCUGCCUCGGCCUCCCAAAGUGCUGGGAUUACAGGCGUGAGCCACCGCGCCCGGCUCCUGAGUUGUUUCUUGUAGAUGAAACAGUAAUUUCUUGGUCUGCUUAUAUUAUUUUGCAAACUUGUCUUUUACUUUCACCUAAAUUGUUAGGAUAAAGUAAAGAUUUAGACUGAUUAUUGGUACAGUUGCAUCUCACUACUAUUGUACUGUUCACUAUUUCACAUAUACAAUAAGAAACUAUAUAUCCCUAUAUUAUAUUUGCCUAAAGGCAGAAGGAAGAUUAAAGGUACCAUCUAACUCAGUGUUUGCUCAUUAUGCUCAUUUUCAUGUUGACAAACUUCUUUAUGAAUAUAACAAUUAUUCCUUGAUUUCUGCAACUCAUGGCAGCACUAAAAUAGAUUACAGCUCCAGGUUUAUGUUCUGCUUACAUUCAGGACAAGGGCUCUGAACAAUUGCACAUUUCCAGGAGAGGAGUUUCCAUGGAAACUUGGACAAAGGCAAAACAAAAUAAUUCUUCAAGGCCUAUGAGAAAAAAAUUUCACCUUGCUUUUUAUUUGCAGUUCUGUGUCCCCUGAGCAGUUCAGCCAGCUUGCAGCUGCCCUUGCUCUCUAGGAAUCCCCGUUUGAAAAUUAUAUAUAGCAUUAUGCAUCUCUGAAAUCUGCAAAAUAGGAUUUGAUGAGUGUAAAUGAAGAGUUAUUUCUCUGGAAGGCUCAAACCCAGAGGUUUAUUACAAUACAAUUUUUAAAAGUUAAAGCAUACAUUUAAGUAGCCACUGAAUUUAUGAAUAUGGAGGUGUUUUUCAAAUUAUAAAAUCCUUAAAAUAGGCCUCAAGAAGAGAGUUUUAGGAUAAAUAAAUGGAAUCAGUGAUUAGAGACAAUUAGGCAUUUCAAGGCAAUUUGCUAGCUGAAAAUAAAGACCAGGUCAAAUGAUUUUCGGUAAAUGUAUGGAUCAUAUAUCUUGGGUAAAAGGAAGUCAGGGGGUUCAUAUAAAGUCCUUCGGAGAAUGAUGUGUCUCCUGUUGGUUUGCAAAAUCCUGUACAGCACGCUGUCUUAUUUAUUCUUGUAUCUUCUAUGGCACUAAGCACAGUAUUUUUAAGGCACUUUGGGGGCUGGAUGGGUGUAGUGAAGAGCAUUCACCAUCUCCCUCAAGAGUCCAGCAUCACAGUCAGAAACAGAGUACUCUCUGCUUCCUAGGCAAAACUAUUGACACUAUUUAAUAACUUCAUCAUACAGUUCAUAUUUUAUCGAGGAACCUGCCCCGAUAGUCACAUAGGUUCUUUUCUAUUUUCCCUAAGCAUCGGCCGGUUUGAGAAAUAAAGGGACAGAGUACAAAAGAGAGAAAUUUUAAGGCUGGGCAUCCGGGGGAGACAUCACAUGUCAGUAGGUUCCGUGAUGCCCCACAAGCCACAAAACCAGCAAGUUUUUAUUGGGACUUUCAAAAGGGGAGGGAGUGUACAAAUAGGGUGUGGGUCACAAAGAUCCGUACUUCACAAGGUAAUAGAAUAUCACAAGGCAAAUGGAGGCAGGGCGAGAUCACAGGACCACAGGACCGGGGCAAAAUUAAAAUUGCUAAUGAAGUUUCGGGCACCAUUGUCAUUGAUAACAUCUUAUUAGGAGACAGGGUUUUGAGAGCAACAGGUCUGACCAAAAUUUAUUAGGCAGGAAUUUCCUCUUCCUAAUAAGCCUGGGAGUGCUGUGGGAGACUGGGGUUUAUUUCACCCCUACAGUCUCUACCAUAGAAGACGGCCACACCCAAGGGGGCCAUUUAUAGACCCACCCUCAGGGGCAUAUUCUCUUUCUCAGGGAUGUUCCUUGCUGAGAAAAAGAAUUCAGUGAUAUUUCUCCCAUUUGCCUUUGAAAGAAGAGAAAUAUGGCUCUGUUCUGCCCGGCUCACCGGUGGUCAGAGUUUAAGGUUAUCUCUCUUAUUCCCUGAACAAUUGCUGUUAUCCUGUUCUUUUUUUCAAGGUGCCCAGAUUUCAUAUUGUUCAAACACACAUGCUCUACAAUUUGUGCAGUUAACGCAAUUAUCACAGGGUCCUGAGGCGACAUACAUCCUCCUCAGCUGACAAGAUUAAGAGAUUAAAGACAGGCAUAGGAAAUCACAAGGGUAUUGAUUGGGGAAGUGAUAAGUGUCCAUGAAAUCUUCACAAUUUAUGUUUAGAGACUGCAGUAAAGACAGGCAUAAGAAAUUAUAAAAAUAUUAAUUUGGAAAACAAAUAAAUGUCCAUGAAAUCUUCAUAAUCCACGUUCUUCUGCCAUGGCUUCAGCCAGUCCCUCUGUUUGGGGUCCCUGACAUCCCGCAAUAAUAUUUCACUUUCUUUUCGUUAUUGAGCUUAAUUGUAAUCAUAUUCAGAAACAUAUCCACUCUUCGAUGCAUUCUUUCAACAAUAACUUCUGAAUAAUAUACCAAGUACUAUGCCAGGAAUGUGCCCUCAAGGAGUCCAUAAAGGGCUGCUGACUUUAAAAAAAGAUGAUACAAAACUAAAGAAAAACACAGACAACAAAAUGUGGUUACUGUACUCUGUAAUAUCUCAUAAUGUUGAGGACUGUCAUGGGUUUUAUGGGUGUCCAGAGCAGGGGCAUGUGACUCAGCUCAGUGGUGCCUGUCAUAUGGGGGUUAGAUCAGGUAAGGCCUUCACAGAGAAAUGUUUGUUCUCAGCGUUUUUGUUGUUGUUGUUGUUGUUGUUUGUUUGUGACAUGGAGUCUCGCUCUGUCACCCAGGCUGGAGUGCAGUGGCGUGAUCUCGGUUCACUGCAACGUCUGCCUCCCAGGUUCAAGUGAUUCUCCUGCCUCAGCCGCCCGAGUAGCUGCGACUACAGGCACAUGCCACCACACCCAGCUAAUUUUUUGUAUUUUUAUUAGAGACAGGGUUUCACCUUGUUAGCCAGGUUGGUCUCGACCUCCUGACCUCAUGAUUCACCUGGCUCGGCCUCCCAAAGUGCUAGGAUUACAGGUGUGAGCCACCGCACCCGGCCUGUUCUCAGUCUUGAAGGAUGAUUAGAUGUGAAUAAGGCAUUCAAGCAGGGAAACACAUUCAGAGAGAGGAAACAUAUGUAAAAACACAGGAACAUGGAAGAAUGCCAAUGUUUCAGGCACUGAACAUUGGGUUUAAUGUAAGGAGUAAUGGGCAUGAGCUUGAAGAAGGCAGAAGCCAGGUCCUCAAAUGCCUUUAUGUGAAGUUAACAAGUGGGAAUUUUAUGCUAAAGAUAGGGAACCCAGUGAGUUAUCUCAGUGAAAGAAGGGCUAAAUCUGUACCAUUGUCCUAAUUUAAGUGUUAGGGGCAGAGGAAGUCCGUAAUAGAAGGGAGACCAGUUACGGGGCAAAGAGGCAAUAUUGACUCCCUAUAGUGAGGGUCAAAACUACAGUGGUAUAGACAACAUGGAAGGGAUAAGGAGAUCUGGAAGAUAGAUGAGCUUGG
rnacentral:lncRNA from 1 species